rnacentral:rRNA from 1 species
GUGCCAGCAGCCUCGGUAAUACGUAGGGUGCAAGCGUUAAUCGGAAUUACUGGGCGUAAAGCGUGCGCAGGCGGUGAUGUAAGACAGUCGUGAAAUCCCCGGGCUCAACCUGGGAACUGCGAUUGUGACUGCAUCGCUGGAGUGCGGCAGAGGGGGAUGGAAUUCCGCGUGUAGCAGUGAAAUGCGUAGAUAUGCGGAGGAACACCGAUGGCGAAGGCAAUCCCCUGGGCCUGCACUGACGCUCAUGCACGAAAGCGUGGGGAGCAAACAGGAUUAGAUACCCUGGUAGUCCACGCCCUAA